GCGAACUUUCAAGUUUGAAGUUAAUUAUGUUCAUCUUUUGAUGUUGUUGUCGAGACCAUUUUUAGAUCGAGUUUUGGAAAAUGGGAAUUGACUUUAAGAGAAACGAAAACGGAAGUCACCACCAAUCUUUUUAGGUGUGAUUGGAUCACCUUUAAAACAUUUUUUUUAAAUCAUUAGUUUUGGUCUACGAAAGUCGAGAAAAUAGAUUCGGGAGUCGGUUACGUACGAGGAAGGGUUAGCACCCUCGUAACGCCCAAAAAUUGGUACCUAAUUGAUUAUCAAGUGUCUCUAAUGUCGGAGAUUUAAAAAUUUUAAG
rnacentral:lncRNA from 1 species